AAUGACACAGAUUACUUCUGCUGACAGCUCAUGGGUUAGAACUGGUCACAUGGCCCCACCCAACCACACGGGGAUCAGGAAGUAUAAUCACACCGGAAGGUGAAAAGCUGGAAAUGUUCUGCGAGCAACUUGAGACAGAUGGAAACAAGAGAAGAAACAGUGGAGUGGUAACGGAAGUGUUGACACGACUCCAGGGCUUCUCUGCUGACCUCCAGAUGCCAAGUUGCCUAUUGGACAUUUCCACCUGCACAUUUGACCUGCAUCCUCAACAUAACAUACCUGAAACUGAAUUCUCGAGUUCCUCCCUCCACUCCAAACCUGCUUCUUCUGCAAUAUUCCCAACCUUAUUGUUCUGGUCACUCAGACAAAAGAUCUUGGAGUCAUCCUUGAUGCCUCUCUUUUUUGUCACAUCCCACAUCUAAUCUGCCAACAAAUCCAGUUCAAUCUACCUUCAAAAUAUAUUGAAUUUCCAACUGUUUCUUUUCACCUCUGUUGCUUACCCUCUGAUCAAAACCACCAUCAUCUCUUCCUUGGAUUAUUUCAGUAGUGCCAUUACACUCCCCGUGUUGUGGGUGGACCGUGUUUCCACAAAAAGAUAAAUAGAAAUCCUCAUCCUUGGUACCUCUGAAUGUAAUCUUAUUUGGAAAAAAGGUCUUUGCCAAUGUAAUCAAGUUAAGAUGAAGUCAUACUGGAUUAAGGUGAGUUCUACUCCAAUAAGACUGAUGUCUUUAUAAGAAGAGAAAACAGACAUGAGGAAUGAGAACACCAUGUGAAGAUGCUGAGACACAUGGUGGGAGAACAGCAUGUGAUGAUGGAGGCAGAGACUGGAGUUACGUAUCUACAAGCCAAAGAAUGCCACAGAUUGCCAGUGACAAUAGAAGCUAAGAGAAAGUUGUGGAACGGAUUCUUUGCUACAGUCUGUGAGAAAGCACAAGCCUGCCGAAACCUUGAUUUUUAGACUUCUGGCCUCCAGAACUGCGAGAGAAUACAUUUCUGCUGUUUUAAGCACCCAGUUUGGGGUAAUUUGUUAUGGUAGCCCUAGGAAACCUAAUAUACCUUGCUUCUUCCUUCUCUCCCCUGAAGACUAUUUUCCACUUAGUAAAAAAAAAGUGUAUGAUUUAUCUGAUUAAAGAUGUCACUCAAAAACCUUCAUUUCCUCAAAAGGUUAAACAUAGAAUUCCCAUAUGAUCUGACAAUUCCACUGCUGGAUGUAUGCCCAAAAGAACUGAGCGCAGGGACUCAAACAGAUAUUGGGUUGAUAAGUCUAUUGUAUUUUAAAACUGAGCUGGGUCCCGUGUAAUUCUGAGUCUGAGCUGAACUGAAAAUGUGAUAUUUACUCCUGAGACACCUUAGCUUAUUCAGAUUCAAUGGGAGAUAUUGCCUAAGAUUUUAUCUCUCUGCAGAUCAGUUCUUCACCUUUCAGCAUGAUCCCCAGUCUUGUUUUUUCAAGCAACAAUUUGACUUUAUAUUUAUCACAUAUAAUUCUAAGUUUUAGAACAGUUACUUUGUGGUAAGUAUAACUCUUCCAGAACUUAGCAUUAUGUGUGAUAAAUAUAAAGUGUUCCAACUCAGCACUUAUGAAUUUCUAGAUAAAUUGCUGAGUAUACUAUUAAGUUCUCAUUCCUGGUCAUCUUAAAACAUGUACCUGGAAUAAACACAGUUUAUGAUAUACAAAAACAAAAUGCUGUUCACUGUUCAGCCGUUUGUAGCCCUUUGUGCUAUUGAAGCCAUUUUUCUGAGGUUACUAAUGACUCUCUACUUGCUAAACCCAAUGGCUUAGAAGUCACCCUACUCAACUUCUCUAUGACAUUUGACAUUGUUGAUCACUGCCUCCUUUAUGAAAUUUUCAUCUUUUUAUGGCUUCCUUGACACUACUGUCUCCUGAUAGUCUUGCUGCCCACCCUGACCACAUCUCAGCCUCCCUCCUUGACCCAUCUUCUUUAUCAGGCUCACGGGAGGACGUUCCCUUGGGCUCUUUUCCUUUUCACUCUAUUCUCUCUCUCGGCAGAUUUACCAGACUUAAUUAUCACUUACAUGCAAAUAGUUCCUCAGUUUUCAGUCUUAACUUCUCUUUCUAGAGCUCUAGAUCAGUAUUUCCAACUGGAGUAAUGCAUGUUCCAUUGAUUCCUUCAUAUUUCCCACAUCUCAUGGAACCCCAGACCUGCUCUCUACUUUCAUUUCUCGUCUCAGUUCCUGACAGCAGCAUCUACCCAAUCACUACAGUUAGAGUCACACGUCACAUCUCCUUCUGUCCAUGAUCCUGAUUGGCUGGAGCUGUUGCAUCCACAGUCAGCAUAAUACUCAUAGUACUCAAGAGCAAGGACUCUGCAUCUGGGUUGCCAGGGCUCAGACCCAGGUCUAUUACUCACUAGGGGGGUGCUCUUGAGUAAGAUGCUUAACCUCUAUGUCUAACUUUACUCAUCUAUAAAAUGAAGAUAACAAUAGUAGCUACUUCUUAGAGUUCUUGUGAAGAUUAAAUACAUUUAUAUUUGUAAAGUGCUUAGAACAGUGCCUGGCACAUCGUAAGUGUUACAUAGCUGCUUGUUAAUAAAUUGGUCUUGAGUUUGUC